AGAACGAACGCUGGCGGCAUGCCUAACACAUGCAAGUCGAACGAGGGCUUCGGCCCUAGUGGCGCACGGGUGAGUAACGCGUGGGAACCUGCCCUGUGGUACGGAAUAACUCCGGGAAACUGGAGCUAAUACCGUAUGUGUCCUGUGGGACAAAGAUUUAUCGCCAUGGGAUGGGCCCGCGUAGGAUUAGCUUGUUGGUGGGGUAACGGCCUACCAAGGCUUCGAUCCUUAGCUGGUCUGAGAGGAUGAUCAGCCACACUGGGACUGAGACACGGCCCAGACUCCUACGGGAGGCAGCAGUGGGGAAUAUUGGACAAUGGGCGCAAGCCUGAUCCAGCAAUGCCGCGUGAGUGAUGAAGGCCUUCGGGUUGUAAAGCUCUUUCGCACGCGACGAUGAUGACGGUAGCGUGAGAAGAGCCCGGCUAACUUCGCGCCAGCAGCCGC
rnacentral:rRNA from 1 species